rnacentral:rRNA from 1 species
AAUGGGGGCAACCCUGAUCCAGCCAUGCCGCGUGCGGGACGAAGGCCUUCGGGUUGUAAACCGCUUUCAGACGGAAAGAAACAGCACAAGCUAAUAACUUGUGCGAAUGACGGUACCGUCGGAAGAAGCACCGGCUAACUACGUGCCAGCAGCCGCGGUAAUACGUAGGGUGCGAGCGUUAAUCGGAAUUACUGGGCGUAAAGAGUGCGCAGGCGGCUCUCUAAGACAGGUGUGAAAUCCCCGGGCUUAACCUGGGAAUGGCGCUUGUGACUGGAGAGCUAGAGUGUGGCAGAGGGGAAUGGAAUUCCUGGUGUAGCAGUGAAAUGCGUAGAUAUCAGGAGGAACACCGAUGGCGAAGGCAGUUCCCUGGGCCAACACUGACGCUCAUGCACGAAAGCGUGGGGAGCAAACAGGAUU